CGAAGCGCUGGCGCUUUGUUGGAGGAACCGGGGCGGGGCCAUGUUGUUCCCGCGGAGGGGAAGCGCCGCCAGCCGCGGGCUCCGGGGCAGCUGCCGCCGCCAAGAUGGAGCCCGGCAGCCGCCCCAUUGUACGGCGCUUUGUGGGGCGGCCCUCCCGCUCAGCCCCUGGCACCGUCACCGGGCGCUGACGCCGCUCCCCGCGCCCGUCCGCCUCCCCCCGCGGCGGGGAUCGCCGAGCCACCACCCGCCGCCUCCUCUUUUAUGUGUCUGUAUGUCAGAGCUUUCCCAAAGAGUCGGGCAUUCCCCAUCCAGAAGUCAUCAGCAGGCCUGAAUGGAAUCGUAUGAUGGGAUCGCAGAGUGCUUUUGAUGGGAAGGGAGCUCGAAGAUCAUCCAGUCCGAUCCCUCCUGCCAUGGGCACGGGCACCUUCCACUAGAUCAGAUUGCUCAAGGUCCCAUCCAGCCUGGCCUUGAACAAUUCCAAGGAUGGAGCAGCCACAAUUUCUCUGGGUGUUCCAGUGUCUCACCCUCCUCACAAUUGAAGAUAGGCAGGCCGAGAUGAGCAGCAGGAAUGUGCCUCAGAGGUAAAGAUGAGGAAUAUGCUCUUGAAAAGAGGGUGACUGCACCUGAAGGCACUGCUCAGAAGAGGAAGGUGUAUGCUAAUGAGCGAGUAAGUCUUUUGAAGAUUCAGUUUGUAGCACUCCAGGCAAUACUGAACCACAGACUGAAAUGAAUUCUGUAGUGAAAUGCGUUUAGAAACUUGGCUACAGCCAAUCAGAUUAGAUGCUAAAAAAAACAAAGCUGCACAAAACCUCAACAUUGGAAUGAAAAGAUGGAGUGAUCAGUAUGAAAUGAGAAAGAAGAAAAGUAAUAGACUUCAGGAGGAAAAGCUGAGGCUCGGCUUUUCUCAUGCCUACUUUCAAGAAUGCAGCCGUGGAUGGGAGGGAAAGAAAGGUAAGUGUGAAAGUCAUCAGCACUGAGGAGAGGAGCAAAGUCACCCAGAGGCCAGGGCAGAGGGUGGAGGGAGAAGCAGCAGCUCACCAAAGCCAGAAACCAGCAGAGUGAGUUUUCCUUGUGUUUGCAUAAGUUAGCACCUGUGUUGCUUGCAGCUGGAGGAGCCAUGUGGGGGGUGGGAGACUUUCUCUCCCUGGGAAACGGGAGGGUUGCUGUUUUACAUAUGAACGAGGCCUGAUGACAGAAAAUGACUCCAGUUGUAUGCUAAUAGUGCAGGGUUUGCGCUGCUGAUGCUGUUGAAAGUGCCAUUUCCAGUGGGGAAGGACCCACAGUUUUUUAUUUCCCUGCAAGAUCUCCACUAAUCGCCAUUAUAUUAUUACACUUAGAGCACAUUGCUUCCCUCAAGUGGGGCUGAGAGGAGGGUGAUACAUGGAACCGAUAUGAAGUGCCUUUUCCAUCUAGUUGUACUGUCUGGUUUUCUAGAGUGAACAUGUUGCUGUGGACUUACUUGUCCUAAAUUUGGAAAGAUGUGUUAAUAAAUUGUAAAGCUGC